GACGAACGCUGGCGGCGUGCCUAACACAUGCAAGUCGAACGGAAAGGCCCUGCUUUUGUGGGGUGCUCGAGUGGCGAACGGGUGAGUAACACGUGAGUAACCUGCCCUUGACUUUGGGAUAUCUUCAGGAAACUGGGGCUAAUACCGGAUAGGAGCUCCUGCUGCAUGGUGGGGGUUGGAAAGUUUCGGCGGUUGGGGAUGGACUCGCGGCUUAUCAGCUUGUUGGUGGGGUAGUGGCAUACCAAGGCUUUGACGGGUAGCACACCUGAGAGGGUGACCGGCCACAUUAGGACUGAGAUACGGCCCAGACUCGAACGGGAGGCAACAGUGGAGAAUAUUGCACAAGAGCGUGGAGCCUGAUGCGGAAACGCCGCGUGCGGGAUGACGGCCUUCGGGUUGUGAACCACUGUCGACUGUGACGAAGCGUUAGUGACGGUAAUGGGUAAAGAAGCACCGGCUAACUACGUG
rnacentral:rRNA from 1 species